rnacentral:rRNA from 1 species
CAGUCGCCGCGGUAAUACGUAGGGUGCAAGCGUUAAUCGGAAUUACUGGGCGUAAAGCGUGCGCAGGCGGUUAUAUAAGACAGAUGUGAAAUCCCCGGGCUCAACCUGGGAACUGCAUUUGUGACUGUAUAGCUAGAGUACGGCAGAGGGGGAUGGAAUUCCGCGUGUAGCAGUAAAAUGCGUAGAUAUGCGGAGGAACACCGAUGGCGAAGGCAAUCCCCUGGGCCUGUACUGACGCUCAUGCACGAAAGCGUGGGGAGCAAACAGGAUUAGAUACCCCCGUAGUCCCUGUCUCUUAUAC